rnacentral:rRNA from 1 species
AGAGUUUGAUCCUGGCUCAGGAUGAACGCUAGCUACAGGCUUAACACAUGCAAGUCGAGGGGAAACGACAUCGAAAGCUUGCUUUUGAUGGGCGUCGACCGGCGCACGGGUGAGUAACGCGUAUCCAACCUGCCCACCACUUGGGGAUAACCUUGCGAAAGUAAGACUAAUACCCAAUGACGUCUCUAGAAGACAUCUGAAGGAGAUUAAAGAUUUAUCGGUGAUGGAUGGGGAUGCGUCUGAUUAGCUUGUUGGCGGGGUAACGGCCACCGAAGGCGACGAUCAGUAGGGGUUCUGAGAGGAAGGUCCCCGACAGUUGGAACUGAGACACCGGUACCAAACUCCCGUACGGGACGGCA